rnacentral:rRNA from 1 species
AGGGCUUCGGCCCCGGUACAGUGGCGCACGGGUGAGUAACACGUAGGUAACCUACCCUCGAGUGGGGGAUAACCCUCCGAAAGGAGAGCUAAUACCGCAUGAGACCACGGCUCCCUCGGGAGCUGAGGUCAAAGCGGGCCUCUGCUUGCAAGCUCGCGCUUGAGGAUGGGCCUGCGGCCUAUCAGCUAGUUGGUGGGGUAAAAGCCCACCAAGGCAGAGACGGGUAGCUGGUCUGAGAGGAUGAACAGCCACACUGGAACUGAGACACGGUCCAGACUCCUACGGGAGGCAGCAGUGGGGAAUCUUGCGCAAUGGGCGAAAGCCUGACGCAGCGACGCCGCGUGAGUGAUGAAGGCCUUCGGG